rnacentral:misc_RNA from 1 species
GAUGAAGAACGUAGCGAAAUGCGAUACUUGGUGUGAGUUGCAGAAUCCCGUGAACCAUCGAGUCUUUGAACGCAAGUUGCGCCCGAAGCCACUAGGCCGAGGGCACGCCUGCCUGGGCGUCACACGUCGUUGCCCCCCCCCCCAUCUACUCCUUCGGGAUUGCGGGGGGCGGAUGAUGGCCUCCCGUGCGCCUAGCCGCGCGGUUGGCAUAAAUACCAAGUCCUCGGCGACGCACGCCACGACAAUCGGUGGUUGCGAAACCUCGGUUGCCCGUCGUGUGCGUUCGUCGCGCAUCGAGGGCUCGAAAAAAUGCUCGGCUCCGGCUCGGCUUUCAACGCGACCCCAGGUCAGGCGGGGUUACCCGCUGAAUUUAAGCAUAUCAAUAAGCGGAGGA